rnacentral:lncRNA from 1 species
AGCACUGCCAGAGACGACAACCUAAUGUUGCAGGUAAGUUUUCUUUCCUGAAAAUAGAUCGAUUGUUCUUCUUUCCCCCCCCCCCCCUGAAAACCAAUUCUGAUAAUUGAAAUCGAUCGACGGCCUCAUGAGUUAUCAAUUUUUUUAUUUUCUUUGAAUUUCUGUUCUGAGAUCGAUUUUCUUUGUAUCAGGCCCUUCCGUUCCAGUUUUUUAUUCUGAAUUUUCUUCAAAAUAUUUAGUGUUUGACAUUGAUUUUUGCUACAAAUUUAUGCUAUUUAGAUUGGAAUUCGUCAUUGGGUAAUCUGGAUUUUGAGUGUUCUUGGUUCUGAUUCGAAAUUUGAACACCGACACUCCUGAUUUUGAGUGUGCUUGAAAGGGUUUUUCAUGUUUUUGAUUGAUUUUCUGUGGAACAGGCGGAUUGUGAUUUAUUUUUGCAAAUGGGUAUUUUACCAGAUUUUGAAGAUUGAUUCAUUUCCAGGAAAUGGUCUUGAUUUUGGCUGAUGGAAAGUUGUUUUGAUGGUGAAUCAUUAGAAUCAAAUCACAGGUUUUGAAUCUUUAUUGAUGACAUUAGACAGGGAUGAAAUUUGGCUUUCACAUGGUGACAGACAGGAAUGAAAUUUGGCUGAUCAGACUAUUGUUAUUGCAUU